UGAACGCUGGCGGCGUGCCUAAUACAUGCAAGUCGAGCGAACAGACGAGGAGCUUGCUCCUCUGCCGUUAGCGGCGGACGGGUGAGUAACACGUGGAUAACCUACCUAUAAGACUGGGAUAACUUCGGGAAACCGGAGCUAAUACCGGAUAAUAUAUUGAACCGCAUGGUUCAAUAGUGAAAGACGGUUUUGCUGUCACUUAUAGAUGGAUCCGCGCCGCAUUAGCUAGUUGGUAAGGUAACGGCUUACCAAGGCAACGAUGCGUAGCCGACCUGAGAGGGUGAUCGGCCACACUGGAACUGAGACACGGUCCAGACUCCUACGGGAGGCAGCAGUAGGGAAUCUUCCGCAAUGGGCGAAAGCUUGACGGAGCAACGCCGCGUGAGUGAUGAAGGUCUUCGGAUCGUAAAACUCUGUUAUUAGGGAAGAACAAAUGUGUAAGUAACUAUGCACGUCUUGACGGUACCUAAUCAGAAAGCCACGGCUAACUACGUG
rnacentral:rRNA from 1 species